UACGGAGGGUGCUAGCGUUGUUCGGAAUCACUGGGCGUAAAGCGCGUGUAGGCGGCCCAUUAAGUCUGAUGUGAAAGCCCGGGGCUCACCCCCGGAAGUGCAUUGGAAACUGAUGGGCUCGAGUCCCGGAGAGGAGGGUGGAAUUCCUGGUGUAGCGGUGAAAUGCGUAGAUAUCAGGAGGAACACCGGUGGCGAAGGCGGCAUCCUGGACCGGCAUUGACGCUGAUGAGCGAAAGCUAGGGGAGCAAACGGG
rnacentral:rRNA from 1 species